rnacentral:rRNA from 1 species
CGCGUAGGCGGCCAGAUAAGUCCGGUGUGAAAGUCACAGGCUCAACCUGUGAAUGCCGCUGGAAACUGUCUGGCUAGAGUCCGGAAGGGGCGAGUGGAAUUCCUGGUGUAGCGGUGAAAUGCGCAGAUAUCAGGAGGAACACCAAUGGCGAAGGCAGCUCGCUGGAACGGUACUGACGCUGAGGCGCGAAAGCGUGGGGAGCGAACAGGAUUAGAUACCCUGGUAGUCCACGCCGUAAACGAUGGGCACUAGGUGUGGGAGGUGUCGACUCCUCCUGUGCCGAAGCUAACGCAUUAAGUGCCCCGCCUGGGGAGUACGGCCGCAAGGCUAAA